UCUAAUACCUAAAAAUAUAAUAACUACACUAUUUUAUUAAAUUAAAAAACAUUUAACACAAAAAUAAAUCAAUCAUUCAAAAAUAAAAAUAAAAAACAGAUGGCUACCAAAAAAAAUAUGAAAUAUUUCUUUUUUUACAAAAUUUAAUAACUAAAAUAAUUUUAUUAGUUCAUCAAUUUUCGUUACUAAUUUGAACUUUAUUUAUAAAUUAACAACAUUUAAAAUCAUAAAAUAUAAAUAUUUUGG
rnacentral:lncRNA from 1 species